CAGCUAGUUGGCGGGGUAACGGCCCACCAAGGCGACGAUGUCUAGGGGAUCUGAGAGGAUGACCCCCCACACUGGUACUGAGACACGGACCAGACUCCUACGGGAGGCAGCAGUAAGGAAUAUUGGUCAAUGGGCGCAAGCCUGAACCAGCCAUGCCGCGUGCAGGAAGACGGCCCUACGGGUUGUAAACUGCUUUUGCAGGGGAAUAAACCCCCGUUCGUGAACGGGGCUGAAUGUACUCUGAGAAUAAGGAUCGGCUAACUCCGUGCCAGCAGCCGCGGUAAUACGGAGGAUCCAAGCGUUAUCCGGAUUUAUUGGGUUUAAAGGGUGCGUAGGCGGCCUAUUAAGUCAGGGGUGAAAGACGGUAGCUUAACUAUCGCAGUGCCUUUGAUACUGAUGGGCUUGAAUACACUAGAGGUAGGCGGAAUGUGACAAGUAGCGGUGAAAUGCAUAGAUAUGUCACAGAACACCAAUUGCGAAGGCAGCUUACUAUGGUG
rnacentral:rRNA from 1 species